ensembl:lncRNA
AUGGCUGUUAUCGUGUCAAGCUUUAUAUAUUCCCAACAGAUGAAUCUGGGUGGCAUUGUCCCUGCUCUUUCUGCAGCCUUAAUUGUUUUGCGUGGAACACACCUGUAUAGCACCAACCUCUUAGAACAAGAACUCUGUGAGGAGAAUGCUGAUGCACACUCUGAAUCUCAGUUCGCUAUAAAGCAACCUUCCACCAAGCACUGUUGAAUGGGAAAGUACAACACUUUGUUUUUUGUGGAUUCAUGACUGAACAGUUCCAGCCACAAGAAGGCCAAUUUGCUUUUGAAAAUUGUGAACAAAUAUUCGUUCUCUUUGUACUGGUUCAUUAAGUAUAGUAUAUUUCAUCAUAGAUCCCUAAACCAUUUGGUCUUGUCCAGCUAGUUAAGCCUUUUGUCAGACACUGGUUCAUUUGCUUCAUUAUUAAUAGAGCUAAAGCAUAUUUUAUUUGCAAUGCUCGGUAGUGUUCUCGGGUUAGUUAUGAAGAUUCUUAGAAGCAGACUUGCUUUUUCUGGUUCAGGUGUUUACCUUGCUACCCACUAUUAUAUUGUUUUUCAUUGCACGCUCUUGACUGGAGCUCAUGGCUACCCCAGUUAGGAAUAACUUAACCAGCCAUGUGGUGACAUGAAGCAAAUGACUACAGUGUUAUUUCAAAACUUACAAAAAAGUUCUGAGGAGUCUGAUCAUUACCUGAAAGCACCAUCCAUCUGUUCAAUUUGGGUAUCAGUCUGAUACUUUGGUAGGAUAUGGAUAAAUUGUAUGAUUGGUUUUUGGUUACACAAUUACUAGACUGUUCACUUUAGAAAAGUUAAAAAUACAAUUAAGCUCAAAAUUCUGAAUUUGGUUACAAAUGACUGAACUAUUAAUGGGAAUUUUAUAAUCUUGUUAAUAGUAAUUUGCAGUAAAUAUGAAUGCAGAUAUGGCUAGAUGAAUGAAGGUACUUCAAAAGGUCAUGGAAGUGGCUGGCACUGUGGAACAGCAGGUUAGACUGCUGCCUGUAGUACUGGCAUCCCAUUUGGGCACCGGUUCAUGUCCUACCUGCCGCUCCUCUCAUCCAGCUCCCUGUUAAUGCAUCUGGGAAAGGAGUGAAAGAUGAUCCAAGUGUCGGGGCCCCUGCAUUCGCAUGAGAGACUCAAAUGAAUCUCUUGGCUCCUGGCAUUGGUCUGGCCCAGCUCCAGCGUUGCAGCCAUUUGGGUAGUAAACCAGAGGAUGAAAGAUUCUCUCUCUCUCUCUUUCAAAUAAGUAAAUCAAUCUUAUUUAAAAAGUUCAUGGAAGACAAAAUCAAGGGUAAGAUUAUUUUGGUAGAAACUAUUUGAUUUUUACAUGUAUGUGUAUGUAUUUGGUUGAGUUAUAGAAGGAGGGACAGAGAGGGAUCUUCAUCACUGAAACUUCUUACAAAUUGAUUUUAGGAUGAUUCUCUUAAGAUGAUCAUAUCCUUGGCCAAAAGGGAGAAAUUUUUAUCUUUUUUACCAAAAUCUAUUCUGCUAAUUUAAUCUUACCAACACAGAAGGAAAACGUGAAUAUUAAUUUUUUUGAUGUUUUGAUUUUUAAUUACUUUAUUUACAUUUAAUCCAUACAUAAUUUAUCUUGAUGUAAUAUGAUCCAAAUUCAUUUUUCCACAUCAUUUGCUGAAUAAUAGUCUUAAAAAUUAGCAUUUUAUGAGUAAAAAUGUCUAUAUAUUUGAAUCUGUGCACAUUCCUUUCUGUUUGAUUUGUUUGUUUAUUCUACAAAGACUAUUUAUAUUUCCUGCUUUAAUUUUCUAAAAUAUUUUAACAUCUGAUAGACAAAUCCUGUUUUGUUACUUCCAUCAUAAUUUUACUACAAUAAAAUAAAACAGUGUAUCA